rnacentral:rRNA from 1 species
UACGGAGGGUGCUAGCGUUAUCCGGAUUUACUGGGUUUAAGGGGUGCGUAGGUGGAUUGGUAAGUCAGUGGUGAAAUCUCCGAGCUUAACUCGGAAACUGCCAUUGAUACUAUCAGUCUUGAAUUAUAUGGAGGUGAGCGGAAUAUGUCAUGUAGCGGUGAAAUGCUUAGAUAUGACAUAGAACACCUAUUGCGAAGGCAGCUCACUACGUAUAUAUUGACACUGAGGCACGAAAGCGUGGGGAUCAAACAGG